rnacentral:rRNA from 1 species
UACGAAGGGGGCUAGCGUUGUUCGGAUUUACUGGGCGUAAAGCGCACGUAGGCGGAUUGUUAAGUGAGGGGUGAAAUCCCAGGGCUCAACCCUGGAACUGCCUUUCAUACUGGCAAUCUUGAGUCCGGAAGAGGUAAGUGGAACUCCUAGUGUAGAGGUGGAAUUCGUAGAUAUUAGGAAGAACACCAGUGGCGAAGGCGGCUUACUGGUCCGGUACUGACGCUGAGGUGCGAAAGCGUGGGGAGCAAACAGG